GACGAAGGUGGCAAGCGUUGCUCGGAAUCACUGGGCAUAAAGCGCGCGUAGGUGGCCUGACAAGUCAGUGGUGAAAUCCCAUCGCUCACCGAUGGAACUGCCGCCGAUACUGUCGGGCUUGAGGACAGUAGGGGAGUGUGGAAUUCCCGGUGUAGCGGUGGAAUGCGCAGAUAUCAGGAGGAACACCAAUAGCGAAGGCAGCUCGCUGGGACGGUACUGACGCUAAGGCGCGAAAGCGUGGGGAGCGAACAGG
rnacentral:rRNA from 1 species